rnacentral:rRNA from 1 species
ACGAACGCUGGCGGCGUGCCUAAUACAUGCAAGUCGAGCGGAAUGAUGAAGAAGCUUGCUUCUUCUGAUCUUAGCGGCGGACGGGUGAGUAACACGUGGGCAACCUACCCUGUAGAUUGGGAUAACUCCGGGAAACCGGGGCUAAUACCGAAUAAUCCAUUUUGCUUCAUGGCGAGAUGUUGAAAGACGGUUUCGGCUGUCACUAUAAGAUGGGCCCGCGGCGCAUUAGCUAGUUGGUAGGGUAAUGGCCUACCAAGGCGACGAUGCGUAGCCGACCUGAGAGGGUGAUCGGCCACACUGGGACUGAGACACGGCCCAGACUCCUACGGGAGGCAGCAGUAGGGAAUCUUCCACAAUGGACGAAAGUCUGAUGGAGCAACGCCGCGUGAGUGAAGAAGGUUUUCGGAUCGUAAAACUCUGUUGUAAGGGAAGAACACGUACGAGAGUAACUGCUCGUACCUUGACGGUACCUUAUUAGAAAGCCACGGCUAACUACGUG